UAGAUACCCUGGUAGUCCAUGCCGUAAACGUUGGGCACUAGGUGUGGGGCUCAUUCCACGAGUUCCGUGCCGCAGCUAACGCAUUAAGUGCCCCGCCUGGGGAGUACGGCCGCAAGGCUAAAACUCAAAGGAAUUGACGGGGGCCCGCACAAGCGGCGGAGCAUGCGGAUUAAUUCGAUGCAACGCGAAGAACCUUACCAAGCUUGACAUGCACCGGAAACACUCAGAGAUGGGUGCCCCGUAAGGUCGG
rnacentral:rRNA from 1 species